GUGUAUGGCCAUGCCACCCUGAAUGUGCCCAAUCUGGUCUGAUCUCGAAAGCUAAGCAGGUUCAGGCCUGGUUGGUACUUGGAUGGGAGACCACAUAGGAAGACCAGGUGCUGUAGGCA
rnacentral:rRNA from 1 species